CUGUUCCUUUCCCAAGACUGCCUUAAAGCUUACUGGGAAAGCCACUGCCUUAUUGUCUCAGAGUCUAUGACUGUCAUCUCUAGGAUCACUAAAUGCGAGCCAUCCUCAUGACGAGUAGCCGCCUACUUAUCGAUACUGCGUUGAAAGCGAGGUACUGCGCUGACGCGCGAUAAAAGAUGGGAUGGUACGCACAAAGCAUGGGUGACGUACUGAAGAGAAUACCACGAGCGCACCUGUAAGAUUUUAUACUGACUCAUAUUGCUCAUUAGUAGAGAACCAGUAGGUUCGGGGCUAACCCGCCUGCUCAUGAGUAAGAAGAUAGAGGGUUUGUAGCGAAUAGCGGAAACAAGAGGAAUCGAAUUCUCUUUCUAUACGCAAUUACGAUAAGAGUAUAGUCAGCUCGGCUUCGCUCCUAAAAGCAGCCCUUCUCUUAUAUACGAGAGCACCCAAUUCAACUUCCAUCCUGCUUCAGGCACUAGUUCGGAUGGAAACCCUGAUCAGGCGUGUAGCACUCUUUCACACAGCAUCGAGGGCUUUUUCAUAAGAAGCAGCACUCUAUUGUCCACUUUGAUAGCUUUCAAGAGUCUCUUUCAUACAUCGUUCCGGGGUCUCCAACCCCCUCCAGAUGGCCUCUUGGUCUUCCCCCACUUCGACUCACCAAGGAGAAGGUAAGUACUGUUAUAUCGUUUCUUAUGA
rnacentral:lncRNA from 1 species